rnacentral:rRNA from 1 species
AUUGAACGCUGGCGGCAGGCUUAACACAUGCAAGUCGAGCGAGCGGAGGACGGGUGAAUAAGGGAUGAAAACCUGCGUGAUGGAGGGGGAUGAGGACGGGAAACGGUAGCUAAUACCGCAUAACAUCAGAUCGGCUCAGAUGGGAGUAGCUAGUAGGUGGGGUAAUGGCUCACCUAGGGGACGAUCCCUAGCUGGUCUGAGAGGCUGACCAGCCACACUGGAACUGAGACAAGGUCCAGACGCCUACGGGAGGCAGCAGUGGGGAAUAUUGCACAAUGGGCGCAAGCCUGAUCCAGCCAUGCCGCGUGUGUGAAGAAGGCCUUCGGAUUGUAAAGCACUUUCAGCGGGGAGGCGUUACUCGCAGAAGAAGCACCGGCUAACUCCGUGCCAGCAGCCGCGGUAAUUC